AUGCGCACGGACGCUUCUCCGUCCUGCACGUGUGCACACACACUACUUCCGGCCCACAUCCGGGUCAGAGGAGCGCCCGUGUGCAU